rnacentral:rRNA from 1 species
GCUGGCACGUAGUUAGUAGUUCCUUAUUCUGGAUGCCUUCAUGGCUCCCAAAAAGUAGUUUACAACCCGAGGGCCGUCAUCCUACACGCGAUGUCGCUGCGUCAGACUUUCGUCCAUUGCGCAAUAUUCCCCA